rnacentral:rRNA from 1 species
CUACGGGUGGCAGCAGUGAGGAAUAUUGGUCAAUGGGCGAAAGCCUGAACCAGCAACGCCGCGUGAGGGAUGAAGCACUAAGGUGUGUAAACCUCUGUUAGAAGGAACGAAUGGCUCCGAUAGUCUCGGAGAUUGACGGUACCUUCAGAGAAAGCCCCGGCUAACUCCGUGCCAGCAGCCGCGGUAAUACGGAGGGGGCAAGCGUUGUCUGGAAUCACUGGGCGUAAAGGGCGUGUAGGCGGGAUUGUAAGUCAGAGGUGAAAUCUUGAGGCUUAACCUCAAGUCUGCCUUUGAUACUGCAGUUCUUGAGUGCGGAAGAGGAAAGCGGAAUUCCCGGUGUAGCGGUGACAUGCGUAGAUAUCGGGAAGAACACCAGUAGCGAAGGCGGCUUUCUGGUCCGUAACUGACGCUGAGGCGCGAAAGCGUGGGGAGCAAACAGGAUUAGAUACCCUCGUAGUC